CGUGCUUCUAGUGCCGGUUCCUCGUCCGAGGUGAACCCCUGGAAUGUGCUAGCUGAAAAUGUGGGUGUUGUCAGGGGUUCAGGAGCAGAGGCACAGGAAAGGGAGGAAAUAGAGAGCGAGGGGGAGGAGUCCGAAGGAAAUGUUAGCGAUGACAGCGGUCCGAGGUCUCUGAGUCUUUCCAGCGAAUCGGAAGAUUCACAGAAAGGGGCUCCCUUGGUCAGAGCAAGGGGGUGCCGAGGGGACACCCCAGGAAGAAGGGGCCAGAGGGGACUCAGAGAGCAGCAGUUGGAAAUCAGGACCAGCGUCCACACCAGAGUGCAGUAGGGGAGGAGUCCCAGGCAUCGGGAUCAGGCGGCGCACUGCCAGUGGGAGGACAUGAGUCAGGAUUGGCCACGCCUCCAUCGGGGAGCGAGGAAACGGUCGAGAGGAAGGUUGAAGGCUGGGCGCGCGCGCAAAGUUCAAAUGUACAGGAGGGCGGCGCAGUUGGCAGCCCGGAUAGGGAGCCAGGUCCCAAAGCCCGCCGAAAGAGGGGGAGGAGUCAGGAGGGUCAGCGUCAGAAGAAUCCAGGAAGGAAGGGACCCCGGGGGGUAGCAGGACCCAGAGGAGAAAGGAGAGACGUAAGAGGUGGAGUAAGGCUAGAAUCUUAAACUGGUGUACAGGGGGGCGGAGACUCAGAUGGAGCUUCGCCGAUCUAACCCCUAGACGUAGAGCUGGGGCGCUCCGGCUUGAAAAUGGAAAUUGUACUUCAAUAAAGACUUUUGCACAUUACUGCCGGCUAGCGUUGGUCCUCUGUGAGCUGGGACCUGGAGCCAGCUCUGACAGGUGUGAAAAGCCAGUCGUCGAAAUACUCGGCUGGCAUGGGCCUGUGUGGGAAAAGUGCAUGGAACUCGUCCUUGAGCCAAGAUUCCUCCAGAGCAUAAUCUGGCACCCAACUGUUGGCGCUAGCCGGGGUACCUUCCUUGGCGAGGAGGUAUUCCACUCCCUCCUCCCCCCAUCUCGAGUCUAAAAUCUCUGUGACUUCGUUGACGGGUUCCCGCCUUGGCGACCCCCCCCUUGUGGGCGUUUCCCUGAACGGGUCUGGUGCCGUUCCUGGCUCCUGAAAUCUAUGAGGUGCUUUGUAGGGCGUGAGCACUGAUCUAUGGAAAACUGGGUGCAUUCU